AUGUACCACGCGUACACUCCGGUUCCUCUGCGCCCACCUGACGACUGCUCGCCACGUCGUGAGUU
rnacentral:sRNA from 1 species